rnacentral:SRP_RNA from 1 species
GCUGGGCAUAGUGGCCUAUGCCUGUAGUCCCAGCUACUAAGGAGGCUGAGAUGGGAGGAUUGUUUUGAACCCAGGAGGUCAAGGCAACAGUGAGCCGUGAUCACGCCACUGCAGUCCAGCCUGGGUGACAGAGCAAGACCUCAUCUCAA